GAGGCUGGCCCACAGCUUCCCAAAAGAGCAGGGUGUGGGCUAGGACGUGUGGGUGGGCCCACUCUUCACACAGCUGGGAAAGUGGAAUGAGGGGCCGGGGGAGGGGAUGGGGUGACCUGUGAUGUCGCAAUCUCAGUAACCUCAUAAAGGCUGCUAGAAACAGGGUUCCGGCGGACUGAGGCGAAGUGCCAAGGCCAGGGCUGGAGGAGGCGUGGGGACCAUGGAGGCUCACUGCCAGGAACCAGGAAAGGGAGUCCAUUAUUGCUGAAAAUCCAUUUUAAGGUGUCGUCCCCCUCUUCCCCAGAGAAAUGACUAGACAAAACCAGUAAAGCCUCCAGUGCUGC